GCUCGCGGGCCGCGACAGCUCAACGAUAAGCGAAAACAUGGUGCCGCCACGUGUCGAUGACUCAGCAAACCCUAGCCGCCUUUUCUGGACCUUGUGGGCCGCGUAGCCCUUAGCUACAUCUUACGCGGGCCGCGUAAAACUCGAAAUCAGAAACUAUAAAUAAGAGGCAUCGGCUGUCCAUUCCAAUUCGUUCAAAAUUCAAUUUCUCUCUCAAUUUCUGUAGUGUAGGCCCUAUACCCGGGCAUUAUACCCCCCCCCCCUAAUUAGCGAAGCUCUGCCUCGUUGUAAGUAUCAUAACCCCUGGAUACGUAUUAGAUACUCUGCCCGAUUGAUCUAGGGUUCCGUAACGGCUGUCGUGGUUCUGCCCGACGUAGUCGUUGGAAUGCCGUCUCGGGGAGGAUUAUAACCUGGAAGUCACAAAGGAAAGCCCUAUAACAGCAAUGUAACUUAGUGUGAAGCCAAUAAAAGUCAGCUGGAGAGCACUGAAGGCUUAAAAAAGUGGCAAUAAAAGUUACCUAAUUAAAAAGGAGAAUUGUUUCCAAUAAUUAGGAUUAUUCCCUAUAAAUGUAUCAAAAUGAAAAAUCGGGUUUUGUCCCACUUAUAAAUAUAUUAUCAGAA
rnacentral:lncRNA from 1 species